UUAAUCGUGAGUAUGUGAGCAUGGCUCGAGGUGCUAGUAACUUCCGACCUGCUUGCCAUCGAGGGAGCAACGUCCGCGGCCUUUGGAUAAGCCACAAUAAUGCUACCCAGAGGUGAAGAGGACGUGGGAAGACCCAAAUGGAUUUCUUUAUUCAUGAAUUAUAUUAUUGUAUUCAUUUUUUUCCUCAUUCUUCGAAGAUUAAGGAUUAAUCGUGAGUAUGUGAGCAUGGCUCGAGGUGCUAGUAACUUCC